GUGCCAGCAGCCGCGGUAAUACGAAGGGGCUAGCGUUGCUCGGAAUGACUGGGCGUAAAGGGCGUGUAGGCGGCAUGUACAGUCAGAAGUGAAAUUCCUGGGCUCAACCUGGGGACUGCUUUUGAUACGUGCAAGCUUGAGUGAGGAAGAGGGUUGUGGAAUUUCCAGUGUAGAGGUGAAAUUCGUAGAUAUUGGAAAGACACCGGUGGCGAAGGCGGCAACCUGGUCCUUUACUGACGCUGAGGCGCGAAAGCGUGGGAGCAAACAGGAUUAGAUACCCUGGUAGUCCACGCUGUAACGAUGUGUGCUGGAUGGUUGGGAACUUAGUUUUCAGUUGUCGUAGCUAACGCGAUAAGCACACCGCUGGGAGUACGGCCGCAAGGUUGAAACUCAAAGGA
rnacentral:rRNA from 1 species